rnacentral:rRNA from 1 species
AACGAACGCUGGCGGCGCGUUUUAAGCAUGCAAGUCGUGGGAGAAAUUAAAGCUUGCUUUAAUGGAAACCGGCGCACGGGUGAGUAACACGUGAGAAUCUGCCUUAAGGUGGGGGAUAGCCCAUGGAAACAUGGGGUAAUACCGCAUAUGUCUACGGAUGAAAGCUACUUUUGUAGCGCCUUGAGAUGAGCUUGCGUUCCAUUAGCUAGUUGGCAGGGUAAUGGCCUACCAAGGCGACGAUGGAUAGCCGGCCUGAGAGGGUGAACGGCCACAUUGGGACUGAGACACGGCCCAG